AUGUGAAUUUAUUUUGGAUUUUCAGAUGGCAUUCUCUUCACCUGGGGUUGGGGAGGUUCUCAUGGAACAUUUUCUGUAGAUGGGCAUUCUUCAGGCGGACAAUUGGGUCAUGGAAGUGAUGUUGAUUACAUAAAGCCAACAAUGGUGAACUUUGGGAAGAAUGUGAAAGUGUUUCAGGUGUCAUGUGGAUUCAAUCAUACAGGCGCCAUUCUUGAAUACAUCUAAGUUUCUGCCAACAUUUUUAUUAUGCUUAAGGAGGUUUUCUUCCCAUUAUAAGUCUUCUAUUCCUUCAUGUAAUCAUAUUGUUGGAUACCAACUGAACAUCACAAGAAUUCUCUGCAGCAACAAAAAUUUCAGGUAGAAAGCACUUGAGGAUGAGAUUUUAUAGGUAAAAUGAGGUCCAUACAAAUCGUAUUCCUUGUUGUUUAUGUAGAAAUAAAUAAUCAAUAUCUAGAUAAAAAAAUUUUGCCCGAAAUGGCCCUUCUGUAAAAUAAAAUAUUUAAAAAAUAUACAAAUACUGUCUAUAUUGGAAGCAAUUCAUAAGUAAAUUCA